ACAGAAGCAGUGCCUGUGAUGUAUCUGCAGUAUCGCGUACAGUUCAUGUCAAGUAACGCUCAACUUCGUCAAAUAUCUGCGAUUGCAUGUUUCACUGUAGUAGUAUUACAUCUAUCAUUAUUAGUCUAUAACGUAACCGGAAGAAUAUAAGUACUUAAAUUCUUCUGAGUGAUAAAAGAAGAGGUUAUAUUAUUUCGUAGAAUAACAUUUUGGGUCAACGUCUAUUUUUAAAUGAAGAAUUAGUUAAGUAUUAAUAAAAAUUAAAAUACUUGUCACAUUUUCAAUCGAUCACUGUUGUACAUUCAUUUUUUAUCAAUGUUGUUUUUAAAGCAUAUAUUAAAACUAACUGUUCUUUGUAAUCAUAUUGCAAUUGUAUUUGGUAAUAAUGAUUUGAUAGCAAAAGAAUAAGACUACUAAAAGAAUAACAUGAAGGUGUAUAUCUCACAGUUCAUUAAGCCUCGAAGAUGGCCAGUCACCUUAGAACCAAUGCUGUUCCUUUUCUUUUUGUCCUACAUGAUUUCUAUGAUUGUAAACAGUAAUAUGGUUUACUGGAAAGGAUGCAAUUUAAAUGUCACAGAAGAACCAGACAUUGGUAUCAUAAAAUGCGAGGGAGAAGACAAAGACAAGUCUCUAAAAGAAAUGGCGUUAAUCAACAUAUGGAAGUUGAUUGCGCAAGAGAUAAUAGGUUUAUCUUUUAUUGUAUUUGCGGGUCCUUGGAGCGAUAAUCACGGUUGCAGACGCCUUCCGCUUCUAUUCUUACCUGUGAUCGGUCAAAUCACAGGCGAUCUUCUCAACAUCUUUUCCGCCGUUUACUGGAAUGAAGUAACCCCUGCUGUCACAAGCAUCGGAUUUACGUUGGUAACCACAAUUACCGGUUCCAUGUCCUGUUUCUUCAUAGGAAUGUAUUCAUACCUGUCUGAUAUUACCGAUAAUACUAAUAGAACCAUGCGAUUGGGUUUCGCUAGUGCUGUAGUACCUCUUGCUGCAACAAUCGGUCCAAUAUUAUCAGGCAUCUUAAACGUAAAGAUCGGAUUCAUAAACGUUUUCCUAUUCAACAUACUUUUAAACAUAUCUGGCCUGUGCUUUGGUAUAUUAUUGAUUUAUGAUUCGUCCGACCCCAAUAAAGUAAUCAAGUCUACUUUGAAGAGCACGUUUGAUCCAAAAAUCGUAAAGAAUAUUAUUACCAUAGUUUUGAAGGAAAGGAAAAAUCAUAAAAGAACCAUCCUUCACUUGAUGAUGAUUGCAUCGGCAAUAAUUAUGGCUCCAUUCUUAGGGGAAAUGUCAGUGAUGCCUUCAUAUUUAAGAAAGACAUUUAACUUUACUGAAAUUUCUUUCAGCCAGUUCUAUUCAUACUUGAUGGGAGUUAUGUUGAUCGGCACAACAAUAUCAUUAGGUAUUUUCAGUCGUAUUUUUCGUAUGAAUGAUUCUUUAAUCGGAUUAAUUGCUACAGUUUUUGAUCUUGCAGCCGCUGUCGCCUUUUUCUUAGUAAGAGAUGCGUGGCUUAUAAUGUUUGUUCCAUUAUUACAACUUUUUAGAGGAGCAUCACUCGCUAUCCACGGAGCAAUUGCUUCAAAAUGUGUAGAACCGUAUGAAAUAGCGUCAAUGAACUCUUUUAGAUUAGUAAUCGAAGGUUUGUUCAAAGCUCUUGUGUUACCUAUGUAUAACAUGAUAUAUUAUGAAACAUUAAACACAUACCCUAGUGCAUUCUUUUUAUUGACCGUCGUUUUAACUAUUCCAUGUCUUUUCAUAUUUUCAAUUACUUACUAUUUAACUCGGACUGAAUCUGAAGAAAAUUCUACUGAGAAGAAUACAACGAUUAAAACAUAAAGCCAUUGAAUCAAUGCGAAAAAGGUAAUGCUUAAAAUAAUAUAAAACGUGUAUUAAAAAACUAAAAAAAAACUGUGAAUAUUUUCCAAAAGUCGAUGUAUCAAUAUUAAUAAUUUUACAAAAGAUCAAAACCAAAAUAAAAUUUUUCAGUGGAAUCACAUUUUUGCGAAUUAUCAGUCUAUGGAUACAAGUCACAGAAAUUAUAAUUUAGAGAAAAAGGGACAUAUUGGCUAUAAUGAAUGGAACUGAAGUUGUCAUUAUGAUUUUCUAGUGCCCCUCUGAUAAUUCCUAACAAAAUAAUUAGUCAUUAUUUUAUUU